CGAGUGGCGGACGGGUGAGUAAUGUCUGGGAAACUGCCCGGUGGAGGGGGAUAACUACUGGAAACGGUAGCUAAUACCACAUAACGUCGCAAGACCAAAGAGGGGGACCUUCGGGCCUCUUGCCACCGGAUGUGCCCAGAUGGGAUUAGCUUGUUGGUGAGGUAACGGCUCACCAAGGCGACGAUCCCUAGCUGGUCUGAGAGGAUGACCAGCCACACUGGAACUGAGACACGGUCCAGACUCCUACGGAAGGCAGCAG
rnacentral:rRNA from 1 species